GAUGAACGCUAGCGGCAGGCCUAAUACAUGCAAGUCGAACGGUGUAGCAAUACACAGUGGCGCACGGGUGCGUAACACGUAUGCAACCUACCUUACAUCGGGGGAUAGCCUUUCGAAAGGGAGAUUAAUACCGCAUAAGACAGUAACUAGGCAUCUAGUAGCUGUUAAAGAUUUAUCGAUGUAAGCUGGGCAUGCGUCCAAUUAGUUAGUUGGCGAGGUAAUGGCUCACCAAGACGAUGAUUGGUAGGGGAACUGAGAGGUCAAUCCCCCACACUGGCACUGAGAUACGGGCCAGACUCCUACGGGAGGCAGCAGUAGGGAAUAUUGGGCAAUGGGCGCAAGCCUGACCCAGCCAUGCCGCGUGCAGGAAGAAGGCGUUAUGCGUUGUAAACUGCUUUUAUACAGGAAGAAACGACCCUUGCGAGGGGCAUUGACGGUACUGUAUGAAUAAGCACCGGCUAACUCCGUGCCAGCCGCCGCGGUAA
rnacentral:rRNA from 1 species